rnacentral:rRNA from 1 species
UGAACAGGUUUCCGUAGGUGAACCUGCGGAAGGAUCAUUG